GGCCGCGGUAUCCUGACCGUGCGAAGGUAGCGUAAUCAUUUGUCUUUUAAAUAGAGACCUGUAUGAAUGGCAUAACGAGGGUUUAACUGUCUCCUUCCCCUAGUCAAUGAAAUUGAUCUGCCCGUGCAGAAGCGGACAUAAAUACAUAAGACGAGAAGACCCUAUGGAGCUUUAGACAAAAGAUCAAACAUGUAAAGAAACCAAGUUAACCAAAAGGAACACAAAGGCCACGAAACCCGACGUAAACUGAUCCAAAUGUCUUCGGUUGGGGCGACCAUGGGGGAGAAAAAAGCCCCCACGAGGAACAGGGACUAAUCCCUAAGCCAAGAGAGACAUCUCUAAGCAACAGAAAAUCUGACCAAAAGUGACCCAGAAUACUAAUUCUGAUCAACGAACCAAGUUACCCUAGGGAUAACAGCGCAAUCCUUUCCCAGAGUCCAUAUCGACGAAAGGGUUUACGACCUCGAUGUUGGAUCAGGACAUCCUAAUGGUGCAGCCGCUAUUAAGGGUUCGUU
rnacentral:rRNA from 1 species